AGCAGCCGCGGUAAUUCCAGCUCCAAUAGCGUAUAUUAAAGUUGUUGCAGUUAAAAAGCUCGUAGUUGAAUUUCGGGAUCAAAGGAUCGGUCAUGCCUUGGUAUGUACUGGUCUUAUUGGUUCUCACCUUCUAAAGAACCAUAAUGUCAUUCAUUUGAUGUUAUGGGGAAUUAGGACUGUUACCUUGAAAAAUUAGAGUGUUUAAAGCAGGCUUUACGCUUGAAUACAUUAGCAUGGAAUAAUGAAAUAGGACGUUCGAUCCUAUUUUGUUGGUUUCUAGGAUUGACGUAAUGAUUAAUAGGGAUAGUUGGGGGCAUUAGUAUUCAAUUGUCAGAGGUGAAAUUCUUGGAUUUAUUGAAGACUAACUACUGCGAAAGCAUUUGCCAAGGAUGUUUUCAUUAAUCAAGAACGAAAGUUAGGGGAUCGAAGACGAUCAGAUACCGUCGUAGU
rnacentral:rRNA from 1 species